CAGUAGCCGCGGUAAUGCGUAGGUGGCAAGCGUUGUCCGGAAUUAUUGGGCGUAAAGCGCGCGCAGGUGGUUUAAUAAGUCUGAUGUGAAAGCCCACGGCUCAACCAUGGAGGGUCAUUGGAAACUGUUAAACUUGAGUGCAGGAGAGAAAAGUGGAAUUCCUAGUGUAGCGGUGAAAUGCGUAGAGAUUAGGAGGAACACCAGUGGCGAAGGCGGCUUUUUGGCCUGUAACUGACACUGAGGCGCGAAAGCGUGGGGAGCAAACAGGAUUAGAUACCCGCGUAGUCCCUGUCUCUAUACA
rnacentral:rRNA from 1 species